rnacentral:lncRNA from 1 species
GUUUGAUAACUUAAUAGUAAUGUAUAGUAGCAAACUAUACAUAUCCCGGCUGAUAGUUUCCGUGUUUAAAUUGUUUUACAUGGUUAUGUAUUAGUCUUCCAAAGCUAAAAAGGGACGAAAGAUAUCAGAGGGACAGUAAAAAAAAAUCGAAAAUAAACUGAAAAAACCAUGGCUGAAAAUGAAAAAGACAAACAGACAAACAAUAAUACACAUGACACAACAUAAAAAAUCCAAAGAAUUAGCAACACGAACCCCAGCAAAACUAGGGGUGAUCUAAUGUGCUCCGGAAGGCUAAGCAUAUCCUGCUCCAC